GUGGGGAAUAUUGGACAAUGGGCGAAAGCCUGAUCCAGCAAUGCCGCGUGCAGGAAGAAGGCCUUCGGGUUGUAAACUGCUUUUGUACGGAACGAAACGGUCCGGGUUAAUACCCUGGGCUAAUGACGGUACCGUAAGAAUAAGCACCGGCUAACUACGUGCCAGCAGCCGCGGUAAUACGUAGGGUGCAAGCGUUAAUCGGAAUUACUGGGCGUAAAGCGUGCGCAGGCGGUUUUGUAAGACAGGCGUGAAAUCCCCGGGCUCAACCUGGGAAUUGCGCUUGUGACUGCAAGGCUGGAGUGCGGCAGAGGGGGAUGGAAUUCCGCGUGUAGCAGUGAAAUGCGUAGAUAUGCGGAGGAACACCGAUGGCGAAGGCAAUCCCCUGGGCCUGCACUGACGCUCAUGCACGAAAGCGUGGGGAGCAAACAGGAUUAGAUACCCCUGUAGUCC
rnacentral:rRNA from 1 species